AUAACAUGGACAUAAACAAACAAGAUAGCUGCUUCCACAUCCAGCGCUCAAAGAAUAUCACAGAUAUUUGCAGAGCCUUUUGAGAUGUUAUAGUAAUAAAAUAAUGACUUGGAUUGCAUUAUUGAGGAGUUUGGUGAUAAAACGAGUGAUCAGGAGAUAAUUUAUCGGUAUGCACGACUAUGAACAGCACCUCCAGCACGAAGAACCCUGCUGAAUGGAAGAGCCGCACACGAGGGGAGGCGGACAGCAGGGAAGAGUCCUGCCAGGGAAGAAGACAGUGCAGCUCACUGAUCUGACACAAGCAUAUACUGAUCUUAUCACAGUCUAACAAUGGGGAUCUGCUAUAUCAAUGUGCCCCCAACUGACAUAGUGCAACAUGAUCAUUGGAACUUUAGAUCGGAGGUCGGCGAGCUACCGCCCUCUGGAGGACAAAAGUCCAGCCCUGAAGGUGUCUGCUUGAGCUCAACCUGUGCCUGGACAGGGCUGGCUGUACCGAGAUGAUGAGAAACAGUCCCUGACAAUUUUGCCUCCCUAACCUGGGGAGCACCAGUCAGUGAGACGCCCACUCUGGAAUCCCCAGCAAAUAACAAAUAAAACAAACUACCUGACACUGCAGAGCACCACGGGUUGCGCUCAGU